rnacentral:lncRNA from 1 species
CUGAUCAGUUAGAAGUAAGCCUUCUUCGCCGACUUGCCGCUAUGUCUCCUCAAUCGGCACUAGCUUUGUUUCGGCGAGUUGGUACCUCUUUGGCAUCUUACAUUUCUGAAAGUAUUGGCGACCAACCUACGGGUGGCGCUCUCAAUCGUGACCAACCUACGGGUGAACAAUUAACUCCAAAUAUUAGUUUAUCAUUUCAACAGCUUACAGGCGUUGAGGAGACUCAGCCUACGGGCGGGCUUCGUCUUUAUUCAGAAUCAUCGGAACCGGCGGACCAAUCCUUGCCCGAAGCUGACGCGGGCGUAGCACUUCAGGUGUUAAAUGACUCCGCACCGGGCACUAGCAAUGGCCAAAGCGAACAACGGCAAGGCCUUCAUGGGAUCGCGUCUCGAUUACGUGAAUUAAUUCAAUCGUUACCUGGUCGCGUUACUUCCCCUCCAACGCUAUUGGUGUGAACACAAUCAUUACCUUCACCACCCUUGUUGUCGCAUCCGGAUAAUGUGACGUCGGAACAACAGGUAGCCUGCGAUGUUGCGCAGCAACCACAAACCGAUUCUUUUACGCACGCGCAGCCAACUGCGACCAUACCAAGCCGAUUAUUUAUGACUCCUAUACCAAACAAUGAUGCCAUAUUGCAGGCGUGACGCGGCUUGGGUCCGACCACGGACUUAAGACCAACAGGAAUGUAGCCGGUGACUGGUAUGGGCUUGCAACCAGCAAACGCAGCUCAUCAGGCGGUGCCCGGGUUUACUUUCGGGCAGCCGUUCAUGCAGCCACCGCAGCAACAACAGCAGCCACCUGAUUUUUAUCAGGCAUUUUCCUUUUCCGGAUUGCCCGGAGUCGACGCCAGCGCGUUGUUGUUGUUUUCGUGGUCGUAUCAACUCUCAAGGCCACCUCAUGGAAAAGGUUAACAAUAAUAUUAACCAUAUCGGUGCUAUGAUGCAUACCCAGAAUCAGGUUAUGCAUGGCCAGGGGCAAACCCUUUCACGCGUAGUCGACCAAGUAAAUCAAAUUCACCAGGUGGGUACUCCAGGGCCAACCUUACUAACGCAAAAUUCACCAGCUCCAUUUGCUCGUCACUUGCCAUGACCACCCUACCUAACGGGAGACCCUAAGCAAGAUAAUAAAUCUAUUUCGGAUAAACUAGUGUGGUAUAACUCCGUGGUAGACUUCAUGCAACUCACGGGCAUGAACCACAUUAGUAACUUCAAAUUUUGCCUGCAGUUGUCUUUGUCUACUGCAGAAGCCUUAGCUAAGCCCGGUUGCAUGUGAACGAAGAACCAGGAAAUUUUGCCGGACUCGGCCAUAUCUGGCGCAUCAAGGAAGAUUAACAAACACUUCUGCACAUAUUCCGAAACGGACAUGUCCGGUCUUUGUGUCACCUCCCCACGCUUCUAAGAGUUCAUGUGUGCGCGAGGGAUCACCGUACACCUUCUUGAAUUCCGUAACCAAACUCGACCCACCUAGGGAAAUACCCUUCUGGGAAUAGUAAUGCUGCAGGCUAUCGAACCAUUUGCUGGCGGGGCCUUGCAGGAAAAAAUUGAAGUUACUGAAGUCUACCACGGAGUUAUACCAUAGAUAGAGUGUCAUAAGAUAGUAGAUAUUCCUGCAUAAGAGAAUCGCACCUUCCAGCGAAGAGUUACUGUUGUAGAACUAAGUUUGUGGCGGUCAGCUCUCUGGACGAACUGGUUUCCGUAUCAUGCCGUGCAGAUUGCACGGGCAUCUCUGGGCUCCUUGCCCUAUAUUAGCUUCCGCUUAUCUGUCUAACUUGUAACACA